rnacentral:rRNA from 1 species
GUGUCGUGAGAUGUUGGGUUAAGUCCCGUAACGAGCGCAACCCUUGUCCUUAGUUACCAGCACGUAAUGGUGGGCACUCUAAGGAGACUGCCGGUGACAAACCGGAGGAAGGUGGGGAUGACGUCAAGUCAUCAUGGCCCUUACGGCCUGGGCUACACACGUGCUACAAUGGUCGGUACAGAGGGUUGCCAAGCCGCGAGGUGGAGCUAAUCCCACAAAACCGAUCGUAGUCCGGAUCGCAGUCUGCAACUCGACUGCGUGAAGUCGGAAUCGCUAGUAAUCGCGAAUCAGAAUGUCGCGGUGAAUACGUUCCCGGGCCUUGUACACACCGCCCGUCACACCAUGGGAGUGGGUUGCACCAGAAGUAGCUAGUCUAACCUUCGGGAGGACGGUUACCACGGUGUGAUUCAUGACUGGGGUGAAGUCGUAACAAGGUAGCCAAUCGAAUUCCCGCGGCC